rnacentral:tRNA from 1 species
GAGUAAAUAGCUUAAAUUAAAAGUUUAUUAUUUACAUUAAUAAGAUACUUAAAUGUUUUACUCA